rnacentral:rRNA from 1 species
UACGUAGGGUGCAAGCGUUGUCCGGAAUUAUUGGGCGUAAAGAGCUUGUAGGCGGUUUGUCGCGUCUGCUGUGAAAUUUCGGGGCUCAACCCCGAACUUGCAGUGGGUACGGGCAGACUAGAGUGUGGUAGGGGAGACUGGAAUUCCUGGUGUAGCGGUGAAAUGCGCAGAUAUCAGGAGGAACACCGAUGGCGAAGGCAGGUCUCUGGGCCACUACUGACGCUGAGGCACGAAAGCGUGGGGAGCAAACAGG